rnacentral:lncRNA from 1 species
AACAGUCCUUGCUUUUGUUCCGCUUUCUGAAGCUGGUAUCCUGGGGAGGAGGAGCCACCAAGUGUGAGUGACUUGUUAGUUUUUGUCCAGAGAAGGUAGCCUUCAUCACUGAGGGAAACAUUGAGACCUUUCUCUGAUCUGUCACUGCGACAGAAAUGUUCUUGGAAGUAAUGAAUGAAGUGCAUAAAGACAAAUGAAGUUCAACAUUUUUUUGCAUCAAUAUUGUUUCAUAUUUAGGAAAAAAAUGAGCAAUGGGCUACAUGAGGGCUGAAGGGUACAGGAGACACUCGCAUUACCUGCUCACAGCCCCUCAGAGUAUUUGCUUAUGACUAUGCAAGAGAAGAGUCUGGAUGUGAGGUCAUGGAAGCUCCUCACAAAGCUGAGGAUCCUUGCAGAGGCCACACUUUCCUGACUGAUUAGUCAAUGACCAUGGGCUCCUGUCUCUGCCAGACCCCUUAGACUGUGUUCAC